rnacentral:piRNA from 1 species
UCCAGGUCCUGUCUGGGCCAAUCUGGGAAGA